GACAGAGGGUGCAAACGUUGUUCGGAAUUACUGGGCGUAAAGCGCGUGUAGGCGGCUACGCAAGUCGGAUGUGAAAUCCCGUGGCUCAACCACGGAAGUGCACCCGAAACUGCGCAGCUUGAGUCUCGGAGAGGAAGGUGGAAUGCUUGGUGUAGAGGUGAAAUUCGUAGAUAUCAAGCGGAACACCGGUGGCGAAGGCGGCCUUCUGGACGAUGACUGACGCUGAGACGCGAAAGCGUGGGGAGCAAACAGG
rnacentral:rRNA from 1 species